rnacentral:rRNA from 1 species
GCGCGAAAACUUUACAAUGCUGGCAACAGCGAUAAGGGAACCUCGAGUGCCAGGUUACAAAUCUGGCUGUCGAGAUGCCUAAAAAGCAUUUCAUAGCAAGGGCCGGGCAAGACCGGUGCCAGCCGCCGCGGUAACACCGGCGGCUCGAGUGGUAACCGUUAUUAUUGGGUCUAAAGGGUCUGUAGCCGGCCGGAUAAGUCUCUUGAGAAAUCUGGCAGCUUAACUGUCAGGCUUUCAGGAGAUACUGUCUGGCUCGAGGCCGGGAGAGGUGAGAGGUACUUCAGGGGUAGGGGUGAAAUCUUGUAAUCCUUGAAGGACCACCAGUGGCGAAGGCGUCUCACCAGAACGGACCUGACGGCAAGGGACGAAAGCUAGGGGCACGAACCGGAUUAGAGACCCC